UAGUGAUCAUGUCAUAAAGUUCUGUUGAG
rnacentral:piRNA from 1 species